UCGUACUUGUAUUUAUUAACCCGUCCGCUGCGAUUGACACGGAUUUGGCCUUCACUGGUAGCCUGGUAACAUACACUCCCAGGUCUUUCUCUGCCUCUGUGGUGGAUAGUGGAGUGUUUCCCAUGUGGUAUUGGUGUGCUGGAUAUCCCUUCACUGGUAGCCUGGUAACAUACACUCCCAGGUCUUUCUCUGCCUCUGUGGUGGAUAGUGGAGUGUUUCCCAUGUGGUAUUGGUGUGCUGGAUAUCCCUUCACUGGUAGCCUGGUAACAUACACUCCCAGGUCUUUCUCUGCCUCUGUGGUGGAUAGUGGAGUGUUUCCCAUGUGGUAUUGGUGUGCUGGAUAUCCCUUCACUGGUAGCCUGGUAACAUACACUCCCAGGUCUUACUCUGCCUCUGUGGUGGAUAGUGGAGUGUUUCCCAUGUGGUAUUGGUAUGCUGGAUAUCCCUUCACUGGUAGCCUGGUAACAUACACUCCCAGGUCUUUCUCUGCCUCUGUGGUGGAUAGUGGAGUGUUUCCCAUGUGGUAUUGGUGUGCUGGAUAUCCCUUCACUGGUAGCCUGGUAACAUACACUCCCAGGUCUUUCUCUGCCUCUGUGGUGGAUAGUGGAGUGUUUCCCAUGUGGUAUUGGUAUGCUGGAUAUCCCUUCACUGGUAGCCUGGUAACAUACACUCCCAGGUCUUUCUCUGCCUCUGUGGUGGAUAGUGGAGUGUUUCCCAUGUGGUAUUAGUAUCCUGGACUUUACAUUUUUCUUCAUUGAAUUGUUGCAGCCACUUUUUGUUCCACUCCUGUAGCUUGGUGAUGUCUUCUGGUAGGAAAUCCGCAGUCAAGGGAUUAAACAUUUUAUAUUACCUACAUUUCAUUGAAGCUUUUGUUAGGUAGGCACGGCAGUUUGUCAGGUCUUAUUUGUGUUUGCUUUUUCUAUUAUUAUCAUUAUCAUCAUUAUCAUAAGGAGAGUAUCAGACACCUCUCCUCCUGAAAUUGACCUCUCUUUCGGCCACUCCUCUGAACUCUUUUAUAGGAGCAGCAAGUAGAGGGCUUUUUUCCCCACCCCUAAUCACAC